UUAGAUUAUGAAGCAAUCAUGGUCUAAGUUUGUAAUGCCAGAUAGAUAAAAAAGAGAUGAAGUUUUACAUGUGAUCAAUUACUUUAAGGGUGUGAUAAUUAUGCAAACAUAUCUGACCCAGAAUGAAGAAUAUGGAGCAAGCAAGACCAUGUUACUGGCUAUAAACACUCUGGCAAUGUCGCAUAAAUGAAGCUGUCCUCAAAUGUCUAAAGUUAAGAGCAUGUGAACAUCAUCAUCAGUAUCACUAUCAUGGAUUUGGAAAGCUGAGCAUGGGCAACGAAAUGGGUAAUAACAACACAUCUGCUAUCAAAGAGGAAGAUAACUUAGGUGAAGCGGAGAAAAAUGGUUUCCAAGACGAUACUAAUG